rnacentral:rRNA from 1 species
UAGGGAAUCUUCCGCAAUGGACGAAAGUCUGACGGAGCAACGCCGCGUGAGCGAAGAAGGCCUUCGGGUCGUAAAGCUCUGUUGUUAGGGAAGAACAAGUACGAGAGUAACUGCUCGUACCUUGACGGUACCUAACCAGAAAGCCACGGCUAACUACGUGCCAGCAGCCGCGGUAAUACGUAGGUGGCAAGCGUUGUCCGGAAUUAUUGGGCGUAAAGCGCGCGCAGGCGGUUUCUUAAGUCUGAUGUGAAAGCCCACGGCUCAACCGUGGAGGGUCAUUGGAAACUGGGGAACUUGAGUGCAGAAGAGGAGAGUGGAAUUCCACGUGUAGCGGUGAAAUGCGUAGAGAUGUGGAGGAACACCAGUGGCGAAGGCGACUCUCUGGUCUGUAACUGACGCUGAGGCGCGAAAGCGUGGGGAGCGAACA